CGCUGAUAAGUAUAGGGGGUGCUACCUGCUCAGUGGCCUGCAAGUAUUCAACAGAAAUGUUGAUCAAGUAGGUUAAACAGCCGGGGAAAGCCUAAACCCUGUGAAAUAAGCAUAAUCUGAUACCGUUUGAUUGGCGGGGUGUUGAAUGGACGAACGAGCGCAAGACUGUCUCAGGUAAAGGAGAAAUGAAAUUGACAUGAUAGUGCAGAGGCUAUCAAAAAUAGAAAGACGAGAAGACCCCGUGAAGCUUUACUAUAGCUAGUUAUAAAUCACUAACUUUGGGUAUAAAAAUCAUUAAUGUUGGCGUUGUUGACGCAAACUUUUUGUAAUAAAGCCUAUAUUUUGGUUUAAAAGCCAGGAGUUAAGGGAGGUGAAUAAAUGUCUGGUUGUUAGUUUGGGUGGGGUGCCCGCACAUUAUAUAGAAACAUGGAGUUAUCAAUCGUUAAAGAUUUACAGACUGAGUAGGCUACACACUUACACAGAGACAAAAGUCGGAAAAAUGACCCGCUUUAUACUUACGUGCAGUAAUUACCCGCCUAACUAUAUCUCGGUAUCUUUUUGAUAAUACUGAAUAUAAUUAAGUGACAUGAGGGGGAUAGUGACCUAAAUCAGCCCGAGGUUUUAAGGGUUUUAAGGUUGACAUGGUUAUCUAUUACCCCAGAUAACAUGUAAAAGUAAGAAAAUGCAUUGUAUAAUACAAGUAAAUAAAAUUAUGGGCCGACAAAGGAUAAAAGUUACUCCGGGGAUAACAGGCUAAUUGAGA
rnacentral:rRNA from 1 species